rnacentral:rRNA from 1 species
AACGAACGCUGGCGGCAGGCCUAACACAUGCAAGUCGAACGCCCGUAGCAAUACGGGAGUGGCAGACGGGUGAGUAACGCGUGGGAACGUGCCCUUCGGUUCGGAAUAACUCAGGGAAACUUGAGCUAAUACCGGAUACGUCCGUAAGGAGAAAGAUUUAUCGCCGAAGGAUCGGCCCGCGUCGGAUUAGCUAGUUGGUGAGGUAACGGCCCACCAAGGCGACGAUCCGUAGCUGGUCUGAGAGGAUGAUCAGCCACACUGGGACGUGAGACACGGCCCAGACUCCUACCGGGAGGCGAGCAGUGGGGAAGUAUUGGACAAUGGGCGGAAAGACCUGNUCCAGCCAUGCCGCGUGAGUGAAGAAGGACCUUAGGGUUGUUAAAGGACUCUUUCUACGCUCCGACGAAGCGAGAGUGACGGUAGG